UACGAAGGGUGCAAGCGUUACUCGGAAUUACUGGGCGUAAAGCGUGCGUAGGUGGUUUGUUAAGUCUGAUGUGAAAGCCCUGGGCUCAACCUGGGAAUUGCAUUGGAUACUGGCAGGCUAGAGUGCGGUAGAGGAUGGCGGAAUUCCCGGUGUAGCAGUGAAAUGCGUAGAGAUCGGGAGGAACAUCUGUGGCGAAGGCGGCCAUCUGGACCAGCACUGACACUGAGGCACGAAAGCGUGGGGAUCAAACAGG
rnacentral:rRNA from 1 species